AGCUAGAUGAAAAUCAUGGUAGGCAGCGAUGAGUUUUUCUCAAAAAAUAGGUUGUGCUGAGUGUAAAUGUUUAAUGCAGUUUACCAGUAUAUUUUUAGUUGGUACAUCAUAUUGGCUACUUAUACUUACAUUACUUAGAUUAAAAUGAUGGACAAACCAUGUUUAACCAAUGUACCAUAUUUAGUUCCUGUUCAGGCAAUAUCUUACAAUGUACACUUUCAUUUACAGUUUCCAUCACCAAUAUGGUAUCUACUGCGCAUGCUCUGGCUCCAAGGUCUCUACUGCGCAUGCUCUGGCUCCAAGGUCUCUACUGCGCAUGCUCUGGCUCCAGUAUUCCCAAAUCGACCAAAAAAGGCUUUAAAAGCGCACAAUGGAAGUAAAUGGCGCCAUGAUGUCUACUCAUAUAUAUACCGUUACAGAUUUUGACCAAAAAAGGCUACAAAACCGCACAGUAGGAGAAAAAAAAUGACGCUAUGAAGUCCACUCAAAUAUACACGGUCAUUGGUAUUAACCAUUUGUGGAAACUACACUUCCCAACAUCCGUUUUAAACAGGAAGCGACUGCUUUUGCGGAGAUUAGCAGGCUGUUGCUAACUUUAAUUUACAUGUUAGCUUUCGUGGGUACAUAAACUAGAAGCUGCAGCUUAUUAAGGUGUAGGAGAGAUGCUGUGUGCUCUGCAACAUGCGUCCCGCUGAACCAGGUGCGAAAGAUGGACGCCAUUGCAAGACUAACAAAACCAAGAACAACCGGGGAGCUGUAGAUGAGUGUCCUCCUGAAUCCUGCAGCGAGAGCAAAAAAUCCAAAACAGUAGGGUAAGUGCUACACGAGCUUAUGUUUAUUACUGUCUUGAUUCCAAACUUGUGAACAUGUAGUGUUUUGUGGGAGAGGAAUGCUGCACAAUAACUCUGGACACUUCUUAACAAAUUCUCAAAAGAGCAAACAAAGGACAUGAACACAGACUCGUGUUUAGCGAUUUUACACCGAGAAAUACAUUCUGACUCCAGAAAGUCGUAUUUAGGUGAGUAUUGGAACAGAUCCAUUUAAAGUAAAUUGAAGUAGACAUUAAUAUUUGGUUGCAUAUACCUUCCUUACCUGCAUCAAGCCGGUGACCCAGUUACAUCACCAAACUGUUGCAUUCUUCUUUUUGAUGAUUUUCCAGGUUUGUACCACAGCUUCUGUCACUUUUUUUGUUUGUUUGUUUGUUUUGGGGAGUCUUUUUUCAGUCUCCUCUUCAGGAGGUAAAAUGCAUGCUUGACUGAGAUAAAAUCUGGUGAUUGACUUGGCCAGUCUAAACCCUUCGAUGUUUUCCCCCCUACUGAAGUCCUUUGUUGUGUUUGUAGUGUUUUGGGUCAUUGACUACGUUUACACGGACAGCAGUAAUCUAAUUAUUGACCUUAUUCUGAAUAAGACAAUAUUCUGAUUAAGGUGUUUACAUGAGUCGCUUUUAGAAUAUUCCUUUCAUGUUCAGGUUUUACAUGUUAUAGAACGUAGAUGGAUUAACGUCACACGUCAUUACGUCCCCAAUCGGAUUAAGGUCAUCAAUAAUCGCUG
ensembl:lncRNA